rnacentral:rRNA from 1 species
UGCUAUGGUAUAACUUWAGUGGCAGACGGGUGAGUAAUGUAUAGGAAUCUACCUAGUAGUACGGAAUAAUURUUGGAAACGGCAACUAAUACCGUAUACGCCCUACGGGGGAAAGAUUUWAUCGCUAUUAGAUGAGCCUAUAUUAGAUUAGCUAGUUGGUAAGGUAAAUGGCUUACCAAAGGCAAUGAUCUAUAGCUGAUCUGAGAGGAUGAUCAGCCACACUGGAACUGAGAUACGGUCCAGACUCCUACGGGAGGCAGCAGUGGGGAAUAUUGGACAAUGGGCGAAAGCCUGAUCCAGCCAUGCCGCAUGAGUGAAGAAGGCCUUUGGGUUGUAAAGCUCUUUCGGUGAGGAAGAUAAUGACGGUACUCACAGAAGAAGUCCUGGCUAACUCCGUGCCAGCAGCCGCGGUAAUACGGAGAGGGCUAGCGUUAUUCGGAAUUAUUGGGCGUAAAGAGCGCGUAGGCUGGUUAGUAAGUUAAAAGUGAAAUCCCAAAGCUCAACUUUGGAAUUGCUUUUAAAACUGCUAACCUAGAGAUUGAAAGAGGAUAGAGGAAUUCCUAGUGUAGAGGUGAAAUUCGUAAAUAUUAGGAGGAACACCAGUGGCGAAGGCGUCUAUCUGGUUCAAAUCUGACGCUGAGGCGCGAAGGCGUGGGGAGCAAACAGGAUUAGAUACCCUGGUAGUCCACGCUGUAAACGAUGAAUGUUAAAUAUGGGAAGUUUACUUUCUGUAUUACAGCUAACGCGUUAAACAUUCCGCCUGGGGACUACGGUCGCAAGAUUAAAACUSAAAGGAAUUGACGGGGACCCGCACAAGCGGUGGAGCAUGUG